GAUGAACGCUGGCGGCGUGCCUAAUACAUGCAAGUCGAGCGAACAGACGAGGAGCUUGCUCCUCUGACGUUAGCGGCGGACGGGUGAGUAACACGUGGAUAACCUACCUAUAAGACUGGGAUAACUUCGGGAAACCGGAGCUAAUACCGGAUAAUAUAUUGAACCGCAUGGUUCAAUAGUGAAAGACGGUUUUGCUGUCACUUAUAGAUGGAUCCGCGCCUCAUUAGCUAGUUGGUAAGGUAACGGCUUACCAAGGCAACGAUGCGCAGCCGACCUGAGAGGGUGAGCGGCCACACUGGGACUGAGACACGGUCCAGACUCCUACGGGAGGCAGCAGUAGGGAAUCUUCCGCAAUGGGCGAAAGCCUGUCGGAGCAACGCCGCGUGAGUGAUGAAGGUCUUCGGAUCGUAAAACUCUGUUAUUAGUGAAGAACAAAUGUGUAAGUAACUAUGCACGUCUUGACGGUACCUGAUCAGAAAGCCACGGCUAACUACGUG
rnacentral:rRNA from 1 species